GCAACAAGUCACUUAGUUAUGGCUCCUAUUUCUCUUCUUUAUGCACGGACGCUGGGGAGGGAGGAGAGAGGGAAAAAAAAGCAUGGAAAAAGAGGAAAUAUAGAGGCAGGACUAGAAGGGGAAAAUUAAAGGAGAUAAAGAAGAGAGGGAUGAAGGGGAAAAAGAAAGGAAAGAAGGAGAAAAAAGGAGAUUGAAAAGCAGGGAAAGGAUGGAUGGAAAAAAAAGAGGGGAUGAAGAUGGAAGCAGGAAAUGAAGAGGCUGGGAAAGGAGGGGAAAAUGGAGGGGAAACGAUAAAAGGAGCGAGGAAAGGAGGGAAGAGAAAAAGAAGAGGGGAAAUGAGAGAAAUGUGGGAGGGAAAGGAGAUAAAUAGAUAGGGAAGCAAGAGAAAUGGAAGGAAAAGAUAAUGGGGCUGGGAAAGGAGAGGAUGAUGGAAGAGAAAGAUAGAGAUGGGGAAAGGAGGAAAAGAUAAAGAUAUUUGGAAAGGAGAGAAUAUGUAAAAGAUAGAGGUGGGGAAAGGAGGAAAAAAUGAAAGGAAAAGAUAAUGAUGCUUGGAAAGGAGAGAAUAUUUAAAAGAUAGAGGUGGGGAAAGGAGGAAAAAAUGAAAGGAAAAGAUAAUGAUGCUUGGAAAGGAGAGAAUAUUUAAAAGAUAGAGGUGGGGAAAGGAGGAAAAAAUGAAAGGAAAAGAUAAUGAUGCUUGGAAAGGAGAGAAUAUUUAAAAGAUAGAGGUGGGGAAAGGAGGAAAAAUGAAAGGAAAAGAUAAUGAUGCUUGGAAAGGAGAGAAUAUUUAAAAGAUAGAGGUGGGGAAAGGAGGAAAAAAUGAAAGGAAAAGAUAAUGAUGCUUGGAAAGGAGAGAAUAUUUAAAAGAUAGAGGUGGGGAAAGGAGGAAAAAAUGAAAGGAAAAGAUAAUGAUGCUUGGAAAGGAGAGAAUAUUUAAAAGAUAGAGGUGGGGAAAGGAGGAAAAAAUGAAAGGAAAAGAUAAUGAUGCUUGGAAAGGAGAGAAUAUGUAAAAGAUAGAGGUGGGGAAAGGAGGAAAAAAUGAAAGGAAAAGAUAAUGAUGCUUGGAAAGGAGAGAAAACGGAAAAGGAAAAAGAUAAAGGAGUAUAGCUCUUUUUCAUUUACUCCGAUGCGUUCAGAAGGGGAAAUAAAAAUACGGAAGGAAAAGAUUUAAAACAGAUAAUCACUCAAACAUAAUUCUUACUAAACAGGAAAACGAUCACAUUAAUACACAAACAAGCACUGUGAAUUUAAAGCAGACAAACAGACGAUUCGACAAAGAAAAAGAAAAUGAAAAAAAAAAACAUUAACAAACAAAUAAAAAAAAGACAAUCAACUAUUAAAAACAAACAUACGAAUCAACAAACAUAUAACAAACACGAGUAAACAAACAGUAGGCCUAUAUUAAAUUCCAUCAUCACAAACAAUUACUAUGACGUCACUGUUAAGCGGAUACAUAAUAAACACAAACAACUUCAUUAUAUAUCGAAAUACGAACAUGUUUAAUACUGGAUAUCAACUUUUGCGUCCGUGUGUGUGUGUGUGUG